rnacentral:rRNA from 1 species
UACGAAGGGGGGCUAGCGUUGCUCGGAAUCACUGGGCGUAAAGGGUGCGUAGGCGGGUCUUUAAGUCAGGGGUGAAAUCCUGGAGCUCAACUCCAGAACUGCCUUUGAUACUGAAAGUCUUGAGUAUGGGAGAGGUGAGUGGAACUGCGAGUGUAGAGGUGAAAUUCGUAGAUAUUCGCAAGAACACCAGUGGCGAAGGCGGCUCACUGGCCCAUUACUGACGCUGAGGCACGAAAGCUAGGGGAGCAAACGGG